GCGAUGUUAGCCCAGUGGUUAGGGUAUCGCCUUCCCAACGUUCACCAUGACGAAGAGAGGCGGGGGUCGGGGGUUCAAGUCCCUCACAUCGCA